GAUUAAGUGUCGUAAGGGCAUUUGGUGGAUGCCUUGGCAUGCACAGGCGAUGAAGGACGUGAUACGCUGCGAAAAGCCGUGGGGAGCUGCGAAUGAGCUUUGAUCCAUGGAUCUCCGAAUGGGGCAACCCACCUUAAAUGCUUGGAAAAUUUAAGACGAUCUUCUGAUCGUCUUAUCUUUCCAAGCAUUGUGAUAAGGUAUCUACACCUGAAUAAAAUAGGGUGUAAGAAGCGAACGCAGGGAACUGAAACAUCUAAGUACCUGCAGGAAAGGACAUCAACCGAGACUCCGCAAGUAGUGGCGAGCGAACGCGGACCAGGCCAGUGGCAAUUGUGAUUAAAGUGGAACGCUCUGGAAAGUGCGGCCGUAGUGGGUGACAGCCCCGUACGCGUAGAUAUCAUGAUUGUCCUAGAGUAGGGCGGGACACGAGAAAUCCUGUCUGAACAUGGGGAGACCACUCUCCAAGCCUAAGUACUCGUGCAUGACCGAUAGCGAACAAGUACCGUGAGGGAAAGGUGAAAAGCACCCCGACAAGGGGAGUGAAAUAGAACCUGAAACCGGAUGCCUACAAACAGUCGGAGCCCGCAAGGGUGACGGCGUACCUUUUGUAUAAUGGGUCAACGACUUAGUGUAACAAGCAAGCUUAAGCCGGUAGGUGUAGGCGCAGCGAAAGCGAGUCUGAAUAGGGCGAUAUAGUUUGUUGCAUUAGACCCGAAACCGAGUGAUCUAGCCAUGAGCAGGUUGAAGGUUGGGUAACACCAACUGGAGGACCGAACCCGCAUCUGUUGCAAUAGAUUGGGAUGACUUGUGGCUAGGGGUGAAAGGCCAAUCAAACUCGGAAAUAGCUGGUUCUCCGCGAAAUCUAUUUAGGUAGAGCGUCGAGCGAAUACCCCCGGGGGUAGAGCACUGGAUGGGCUAUGGGGACUCACCGUCUUACUGAUCCUAACCAAACUCCGAAUACCGGGGAGUACUACUCGGCAGACACACGGCGGGUGCUAACGUCCGUCGUGAAAAGGGCAACAACCCUAACCUCCAGCUAAGGUCCCCAAGUCAUGGCUAAGUGGGAAAGGAUGUGAGGAUCCCAAAACAACCAGGAUGUUGGCUUAGAAGCAGCCAUCAUUUAAAGAAAGCGUAACAGCUCACUGGUCUAAAUAAGGGUCUUUGCGCCGAAAAUGUAACGGGGCUGAAGCCAUGCACCGAAGCUGAGGAUGUGUAGCAAUACACGUGGUAGCGGAGCGUUCCGUAAGCUGAUGAAGGGAGACCUGUGAGGGCUCCUGGAGGUAUCGGAAGUGCGAAUGUUGACAUGAGUAACGAUAAAGAGGGUGAGAGACCCUCUCGCCGAAAGACCAAGGGUUCCUGCUUAAAGUUAAUCUGAGCAGGGUUAGCCGGCCCCUAAGGCGAGGCAGAAAUGCGUAGUCGAUGGGAACCACGUUAAUAUUCGUGGGCCUGGUGGUAGUGACGGAUUGCACAAGUUGUUCUGGUUUAUUGGAUUAUCAGGGCAGCGGAGCGGUUCCAGGAAAUAGCUCCACCGUAUAGACCGUACCCGAAACCGACACAGGUGGUCAGGUAGAGUAUACCAAGGCGCUUGAGAGAACUAUGUUGAAGGAACUCGGCAAAUUGCACGCGUAACUUCGGAAGAAGCGUGACCCCAUAUGAGGCAACUCUUGUGGGGUGGCACAGACCAGGGGGUAGCGACUGUUUAUCAAAAACACAGGGCUCUGCGAAGUCGCAAGACGACGUAUAGGGUCUGACGCCUGCCCGGUGCUGGAAGGUUAAGAGGAGAGGUGCAAGCUUUGAAUCGAAGCCCCAGUAAACGGCGGCCGUAACUAUAACGGUCCUAAGGUAGCGAAAUUCCUUGUCGGGUAAGUUCCGAC
rnacentral:rRNA from 1 species